CUCGCUCACACGCACGGCCUGACGUGAGCCCGGCCUCCUUCAGCACUGGGCUAAGCGAGAGAGGCACCUGCCCCUCUCCUGACAACAGCAGGCUCGGCAGCUAUUCUUCAAUGUACUUGACACCCUUCCGUGAGGAUUAAGCUACACUCUGUCGACACUGGGUACACUGGCCCAUACGGUCUAGUUUACCUGCUGAUAAUGCCUUGGAAAGACCACCAGGGGGCCCCACACCAUUUUCGGCUUCAUAGGGAUGUGAAUUUCCCUUUGAUGACAAAGGUAAUGGGGAAAUAAAACAAGGAUCCAAAA